UUAACUCAAAUUCGUAUGGAGUUGGAACGUUUGUGUACGUUUGCCGCUAGCAGCGCCGUUCCAACUGCAUACAAUUUUUUAGUUA
rfam:Bombyx mori DNA, contig: Bm_scaf8_contig6813, strain: p50T/Dazao, build 2, whole genome shotgun sequence.